GGCUUUGCUUUUCUCAGAGGAUUGCGGUGACGUCACCUCGCCACCUCUGAAGCGCUGACUGAGUUCAGCGGACAUCACAGAGCAGCAGGAUUUCUGUAAGAAAAUGUCUGGAAAGGGGGAAAGGGAGACACAGAGAACUGAAUUUGAAUGGACCUCCUGGGUGGAGUGACGCCUUAAAAUUAGCAUUGUAAUAGCGUCUGCAGCUUUCUACAGAGAACAUCAAGGUCAAAACCAUUCAUCAAAAUAUCCAGGGCUUCAGGUGAAGGCAGAAGUCCAGAUGGGUCUGUGGGGAUGGAGGAUGUGUCCAGUUUAUCACCAAACACUUCAGUCAGAUACUGAGCCAUCUUCUUCUGCUGAGGGACACUGCAGUGAUUCUCAAUGGAAAGAAUCACUGGAUACCUGAGGAUAUAUAGUCCAAAACAUACAUUUACCCAUCUAUGAAAAUUUGAAAUGUCAUUAAAUUGUGAGACAGAA